UACGUAGGGUGCGAGCGUUGUCCGGAAUUACUGGGCGUAAAGAGCUCGUAGGUGGUUUGUCGCGUUGUUCGUGAAAACCGGGGGCUUAACCCUCGGCGUGCGGGCGAUACGGGCAGACUGGAGUACUGCAGGGGAGACUGGAAUUCCUGGUGUAGCGGUGAAAUGCGCAGAUAUCAGGAGGAACACCGGUGGCGAAGGCGGAUCUCUGGGCCUUACCUGACGCUGAGGAGCGAAAGCAUGGGGAGCAAACAGG
rnacentral:rRNA from 1 species